UACGAAGGGGGCUAGCGUUGCUCGGAUUUACUGGGCGUAAAGGGCGCGUAGGCGGACAGUUUAGUCAGAGGUGAAAGCCCAGGGCUCAACCUUGGAAUUGCCUUUGAUACUGGCUGUCUUGAGUACGGGAGAGGUGAGUGGAACUCCGAGUGUAGAGGUGAAAUUCGUAGAUAUUCGGAAGAACACCAGUGGCGAAGGCGGCUUACUGGUCCAUUACUGACGCUGAGGUGCGAAAGCGUGGGGAGCAAACAGG
rnacentral:rRNA from 1 species